GGCCAUUUUCACUAUGCUGAUCCUUCCUACCCAGGAUCAGGUGCUUUACCCUGAAGCACUUGGCUGUGAGGAACCUGAGCUAGCUCACUUGAAGAGGCUGUGGUAGAAAGGAAUUGAGACCCAUUUUUGACCAUAAGCAUCAACCUCCAGAAAAUUCAAAUGCCGUUUGCUAUCUAUUCAAUAACCAGUCACCAUCACCACAUAGAGAAUGGUAAAGGAAAGAGGUUCGGCCCAAGAAAGCAAGAAGGGAAUGCAAAUAAAACAGCAGUAGCAACCACCUAACUGCACUCCUUGUUACAUGAG
ensembl:lncRNA